rnacentral:rRNA from 1 species
UACGGAGGGUGCGAGCGUUGUUCGGAAUCAUUGGGCGUAAAGCGCGUUUAGGCGGCUUGGUAAGUCGGGUGUGAAAGCUCGGGGCCCAACCCCGGAACUGCAUUCGACACUGCCUCGCUAGAGUCCCGGAGAGGAAGGCGGAAUUCCCGGUGUAGAGGUGAAAUUCGUAGAUAUCGGGAGGAACACCAGCGGCGAAGGCGGCAUUCUGGACGGUGACUGACGCUCAGACGCGAAAGCGUGGGAAGCAAACGGG